ensembl:lncRNA
GAGGUGGAGAUAGAGGUGGACGUGGAGGUGGAGAUCAGGUGGAGGUGGAGAUGGAGGAGGAGGUAGAGAUGAGGUUGAGAUAGAGGUGGAGAUGAGGUGGAGAUGGAGAUGGAGAUGAGGUAGAGAUGGAGAUAGAGGUGGAGAUGGAGAUGGAGAUGAGGUAGAGAUGGAGAUAGAGGUGGAGAUGAGGUAGAGAUGAAGGUGGAGAUGGAGGUGGAUGUGGAGAAGGAGGUAGAAAUGAGGUUGAGAUAGAGGUGGAGAUGAGGUGGAGAUAGAGGUGGGAAUAGAGGUGGGAAUAGAGGUGGAGAUAGAGGUGGAGAUGGAGAUGAGGGGGAGAUAGAGGUGGAGAUGGAGGUGGAGAUGGAGGUGGAGAUGGAGGUGGAGAUAGAGGUGUGAGAAAGAGUGAACAUCAAAGUGUGAGUGGAUGUAGCCCUGCGAAGCUCAGAGUUUCAGCCCCUGUGACCCCUAAUGAGGGAUAUCAGCUCUCGCCACUGGCCCAUACUAAUGAGCUAAUGAGCGGGGGGUGCCGCACCUCUGGCCGCACCUCUGGCCGCAACUACUCCAUUAAUCAGACUGGAGAAACAGCCAUCAGC